UUUCCUGCAGGGCUCUGUGUGAUAUGUUUGAUAUAUUAGGUUGUAAUUGAGCCCAACUAUAUAUCAAACAUUCCUACAGGGCCCCGCUCUGUCUCCAG
ensembl:miRNA aca-mir-190a aca-mir-190a